GAACAUACUACUGCACGUGUCUUUUUGGUAGCAUGAUUUAUUUUUUGCGGGGUAUAUACCCAGUAAUGGGAUUGCUGGAACAAAUGGUAGCUCUUUUUUAAGUUCUUUGAGAAAUCUCCAGGCUGCUUUUCAAAAUGGCUGAACUAAUUAACAUUCCCACCAACACUAUAUAAGCAUUCCCUUUGCUCUGCAGCCUCAACAGCAUCUGUUGAUUUUCUACUUUUUAAUAACUGCUUUUCUGAAUGGUGUGAGAUGGUAUCUCGUUGUGAUUUUGAUUUGUGUUUCUCUGAUGAUUAGAAAUAAAUAGCAUUUUUCUUAUGUAUAUUGGCCAAUUUAGGUCUUCUUUUGAAAAGUGUGUGUGUAUUAGUCUGUCCUCACGCUGCUAACAAAGAAAUACCUGAGACUGGGUAAUUUAUAAAGUAAAGAGGUUUAAUUGCCUCACAGUUCUGCAUGGCUGGGGAAGCCUCAGUAAACUUAUAAUCAUGGCAGAAGGGGAAGCAAAUAUGCCCUUCUUAACAUCACAGCAGGAAGGAGAAGAAUGAAAACCAUUCAGAGGGGGUAGCCCCUUCUAAAACCAUUAGAUCUCGUGAUAACUUACUAUCAUGAGAAUAGCAUAUGGGAAACUGGUCCCAUGAUUCAAUUACUUCCCACCAGGUCUCUCCCAUGACACAGGAUUGUAGGGACUACAAUUCAUGAUGAGAUUUUGGUGGGGACACAGCCAAACCAUAUCAGUGUGUUCAUGCCUUUGCCCAUUUUUAAUGGGAAUAUUUGUUUUUGCUUGUUGAUUUAAGUGUCUUGUAGAUUCUGCAUAUUAGACCUUUGCCUGAUUUAUUGCUUCAGAAUGACUUCUCCCAUUCUGGAAGUUGUCUGUUUACUGUGUUGAUAGUUUCUUCUGCUGUGAAGAAGCACUUUAGUUUAAUUAGGUCUCACUUUUCAUUUUUUGUUUUUGUUGCAAUUGCUUUUGGGGACUUAACCAAUAAUUCUUUAAGAAGGCUAAUGUUGAGAAGGGUUUAUUUCCUAGGUUUUAUUCUUGGAUUUUUAGUUUGAGGUCUUACAUCUUUUAUCCAUCUGGAAUAAAUUUUUGUAUAUGGUAAAAGGUUAAGGGUCCAAUUUCAUUCUUCUACAUAUGGUUAACCAGUAAAACCAGAAUGAUUUUAAUGAAGUAUUUUACCCUUUGCUUGUUUCUUGUUGGUGUUGUCAAAGAUUAAAUGGCUGUAGGUGUGCAGUUUUAUUUCUGAGUUUUCUAUUCUGUUCCAUCAGUCUAUGUGUUUGUUUUGGUUUCGGUACCAGUACCAAGCUAUUUUGGUUGUUGUAGCCUUGCAAUAUCAGUUGAAGUUAAAUAUUCAAGCAAUAUUUCAAGUAGUGUGAUGUCUCCAGCCUGUUUUUUUUUUCUUUUUUCCUUUUUUUUUUUUUGUUUGUUUUUUGCUUAUUAUUACUUGGGCUAUUUGGGCUCUUUUUUGGUCCAUAUAAAUUUUGGAAUAGUUUUUUCUAAUUCUGUGAAGAAUGAUGAAUACUGUUGAAAGUUGGGUAGAAACAACAUUGAAUAUAUAAAUUGCUUUGGACAAUAUAGCCAUUUUUAGCAAAAUUUAUUCUUCCAAUCCAUGAACAUGGAAUGUUUUUUCAUUUAUUUUUGUCAUCACUGAGCUCUUUCAGUAUCAUUUUGUAGUUCUCCUUGUUGAAAUAUUUCACUCCUUUAGUUAGCUGCAUUGCUAGGUAUUUCAUUUUCUUUGUGGCAAUUUUAAGUGAGAUUAUGUUCUUGAUUUUAUUAUCAGCCUGGAUAUUAUUCAUCUAUAGAAAUGCUAUUGAAUUUUGUACAUUGGUUUUGUAUCCUCAGAUUUUAUUAAUGUCAUUUAUCAGUUCUAGGAGAACUUUGUCAGAGUGUUUAUGGUUUUCUAGGUAUAAAAUCAUAUUGUCAACGAACAAAGAUUGUUUUACUUCUUCUUUUCCUGUUUAGAUGCCUGUAUUUAUUUUCCUUGCCUGAUUACUCUGGCUAGGACUUCCAGUAUUAUGUUGAAUAGGGCUGGUGAGAGUAGGCAUCCUU
rnacentral:lncRNA from 1 species